AUUGAACGCUGGCGGCAGGCCUAACACAUGCAAGUCGAACGGUAACAGGGAUCAGCUUGCUGAUUCGCUGACGAGUGGCGGACGGGUGAGUAAUGUCUGGGAAACUGCCUGAUGGAGGGGGAUAACUACUGGAAACGGUAGCUAAUACCGCAUAACGUCGCAAGCCCAAAGAGGGGGACCUUCGGGCCUCUUGCCAUCGGAUGUGCCCAGAUGGGAUUAGCUAGUAGGUGGGGUAACGGCUCACCUAGGCGACGAUCCCUAGCUGGUCUGAGAGGAUGACCAGCCACACUGGAACUGAGACACGGUCCAGACGCCUACGGGAGGCAGCAGUGGGGAAUAUUGCACAAUGGGCGCAAGCAUGAUGCAGCCAUGCCGCGUGUAUGAAGAAGGCCUUCGGGUUGUAAAGUACUUUCAGCGGGGAGGAAGGGAGUAAAGUUAAUACCUUUGCUCAUUGACGUUACCCGCAGAAGAAGCACCGGCUAACUCCGUG
rnacentral:rRNA from 1 species